rnacentral:rRNA from 1 species
CCUACGGGAGGCAGCAGUGAGGAAUAUUGGUCAAUGGGCGCGAGCCUGAACCAGCCAAGUAGCGUGAAGGAUGACUGCCCUACGGGUUGUAAACUUCUUUUAUAAAGGAAUAAAGUGAGGCACGUGUGCCGUUUUGUAUGUAUUUUAUGAAUAAGGAUCGGCCAACUCCGUGCCAGCAGCCGCGGCAAUACGGAGGAUCCGAGCGUUAUCCGGAUUUAUUGGGUUUAAAGGGAGCGUAGAUGGGUUGUUAAGUCAGUUGUGAAGGUUUGCGGCUCAACCGCAAAAUUGCAAUUGAUACUGGCAGCCGUGAGUACAGUUGAGGUAGGCGGAAUUCGUGGUGUAGCGGUGAAAUGCUUAGAUAUCACGAAGAACUCCGAUUGCGAAGGCAGCCUACUAAACUGCCACUGACAUUGAUGCUCGAAAGUGUGGGUAUCAAACAGGAUUAGAUACCCUAGUAGUC